CUGCUCUCUCCCCCUGGGCUUCAGUUUCCCCACAGGGCUGUUGCGAGGAUCCAACAGGUAAUGUGCAGAAGAGGCUGAGCACACACAGCCCCGCCUGGAAGACAGGCACACAUUCAACAGAGACGGCAUCACAUUUCCAUCCCAGGGCGCAUGCGGGCUCCGCCGAAUCUGUCUCUGCUUCCCAAGACUGAGAAGGAAAACAGGCCAGGCCGGAGCAUGAUUUCAGCCAGGAACCAUGAAAUGGCAAUUACAGAGUUAUCUCAGACUGAUUUAUUUAUUUAAAAGAAGGAGGUGCUGGCAUUGUGGUGUAGCAGGUAAACCUACUGCCAGUGAUGCCAGCAUCCAUACAGGCACCAGUUCAUGUCUCAGCUACUCCACCUCUGAGCUGGCUCCCUGCUAGUGCACCUGGGAAAGCAGCAGAUGAUGGCUCUAGGACCUGGGCCUCUGUCACCUACAUGGAAGACCCGGAAGAAGCUUCUGUUUGUAGAGGCUGCCGCGAUCCUCAGCGGGCAUCACUCCACCCUCCAUCCCCACCACCACAGCAUCCUUCUCAUCACUGACGCUCCAGCUCUCCUGCUCUUCCUUCUGAGGAUCCUGCGGUCACUCUGGUUCCAUGUGUGUGACCUAGGACACCCUUCCCUGUCUCAAGAUCCUUACUCACACCAGCAAAUCUCUUUGGCCAUGUAAGGGGAAAGUCAGCUGCCAUGGCAUGAGCCAGCCCUGUGGAGAGAAGCACGUGGCUGGGGACUCAGCUUCCAGCCCACAGCCAGCAAGGAAGCCAGGUGCGCCAACAGCCCUGUGAGUGAACUUGGAGUGGAUCCGCAUCCUCGCAGAGCCUUGAGGCCUUGAGAUGGUCACAGGGCCAGCAGCAGCUGCAGCCUGGUGGGGGACCCUGAGCCUGAACCACCUACCGAAGCCGCCUCCAGAUUCGUGGUCCUCAGAAACCACAUGAGGGAAGAAAUGUUUGGGGUUUAAGCUGCUGAGCUUUGGGUAACUGUAAUUUUGCAAUAACAGAUGACAAACAAACUCAUCAAACAAAUGCAUAUGGAGUACCCACA